rnacentral:rRNA from 1 species
GGGGGUAGAGCACUGGAUGGGUAAUGGGGCCCCACAGGCUUACUGAUCCUAACCAAACUCCGAAUACCGAGGAGUACUAGAUGGCAGACACACUGCGGAUGCUAACGUCCGUAGUGAAGAGGGAAACAACCCUGACCUCCAGCUAAGGCCCCUAAUUCAUGGCUAAGUGGGAAAGCAGGUGGGACGACCAAAACAACCAGGAGGUUGGCUUAGAAGCAGCCAUCCUUUAAAGAUAGCGUAACAGCUCACUGGUCUAAUCAAGUUGUCCUGCGGCGAAGAUGUAACGGGGCUCAAGCCAUGAGCCGAAGCUGAGGAUGCCGUAAGGCAUGGUAGCAGAGCGUAGUGUGACAUAGUUCCAUGUGUCCUUACCUUCUUCGGAAGGAUUGGACACAAGGAGCUUUCGAUGAAGCCGGGGCGUGAGCCAUCCGGUGGAGAGAUCACUAGCGAGAAUGAUGACAUGAGUAGCGACAAAGAGUGUGAGAGACACUCUCGCGAACUCCAGUCACAUAACUUCGUAUAAUGUAUGCUAUACGAAGUUAUGCACCCCUAAGGCGAGGCCGAAAGGCGUAGUCGAUGGGAACCAGGUUAAUAUUCCUGGGCCAGGAGGAUGUGACGGAUUGUGAAGGUUGUUUGCCCUUAUCGGAUUGGGCAGGCCGCUGAUCAGUUCCUGGAAAUAGCCCUCCGUGAGAUCGUACCCUAAACCGACACAGGUGGACUGGUAGAGAAUACCAAGGCGCUUGAGAGAACUAUGUUGAAGGAACUCGGCAAAAUACCUCCGUAAGUUCGCGAGAAGGAGGCCCAGUUUCUACGUAAGUAUUGGCUGGGGGCACAAACCAGGGGGUGGCGACUGUUUAUUAAAAACACAGGGCUCUGCGAAGUCGCAAGACGACGUAUAGGGUCUGACGCCUGCCCGGUGCCUGAAGGUUAAAAGGAGAGGUGAGAGCCUUGAAUUGAAGCCCAGGUAAACGGCGGCCGUAACUAUAACGGUCCUAAGGUAGCGAAAUUCCUUGUCGGGUAAGUUCCGACCUGCACGAAUGGCGUAACGACUUCCCCGCUGUCUCCAACAUAGACUCAGCGAAAUUGAAUUACCUGUCAAGAUGCAGGUUUCCCGCGGUUAGACGGAAAGACCCCGUGCACCUUUACUACAGCUUCGCACUGGCAUCAGGAUUGUGAUGUGCAGGAUAGGUGGUAGGCUUUGAAGCAGGAACGCUAGUUCUUGUGGAGCCACCCUUGAGAUACCACCCUUCGCACUCUUGAUGUCUAACCGCGGUCCGUUAUCCGGAUCCGGGACCCUGCGUGGCGGGUAGUUUGACUGGGGCGGUCGCCUCCUAAAGCGUAACGGAGGCGCGCGAAGGUUGGCUCAGAGCGGUCGGAAAUCGCUCGUUGAGUGCAAUGGCAGAAGCCAGCCUGACUGCAAGACUGACAAGUCGAGCAGAGUCGAAAGACGGCCAUAGUGAUCCGGUGGUCCCGAGUGGAAGGGCCAUCGCUCAACGGAUAAAAGGUACGCCGGGGAUAACAGGCUGAUACUGCCCAAGAGUCCAUAUCGACGGCAGUGUUUGGCACCUCGAUGUCGGCUCAUCUCAUCCUGGGGCUGGAGCAGGUCCCAAGGGUACGGCUGUUCGCCGUUUAAAGAGGUACGUGAGCUGGGUUUAGAACGUCGUGAGACAGUUCGGUCCCUAUCUGCCGUGGGUGUAGGAUACUUGAGAGGAGUUGCCCCUAGUACGAGAGGACCGGGGUGAACGAUCCACUGGUGGACCAGUUGUUAUGCCAAUAGCAGUGCUGGGUAGCUACGAUCGGACAGGAUAACCGCUGAAGGCAUCUAAGCGGGAAGCCCCCCUCAAAACAAGGUAUCCCUGAGAGCCGUGGUAGACCACCACGUCGAUAGGCCAGAGAUGUAAGUGCAGCAAUGCAUUCAGUUGACUGGUACUAAUUGCUCGAUAGGCUUGAUU